rnacentral:tRNA from 1 species
GGGCUGGCAUGUUCCAAGGCGGCGACUGACUCUUGCAAAGUCGGUGGAAGGGUUCGAUUCCCUUCUGGUCCAC